UGAAUAAAAGUCAAAAAGAGACAAAUUAUUGUUAAUAAUUUUAUUGAAUCUACUAUUCUUAUUCAA
rnacentral:tRNA from 1 species